rnacentral:rRNA from 1 species
UACGAGGGGGGCAAGUGUUGUUCGGAAUCACUGGGCGUAAAGGGGGCGUAGGCGGAUGUUUAAGUUGGAUGUUUAAAACCGGGGCCCAACCUCGGAGCGGCAUCCAAAACUGGGCAUCUUGAAUAGGUCAGAGGCUGGUGGAAUUGGAGGUGUAGCGGUGGAAUGCGUAGAGAUCUCCAAGAACACCUAUUGCGAAGGCAGCCAGCUGGGACCAUAUUGACGCUGAGGCUCGAAAGCAUGGGGAGCAAACAGG